rnacentral:rRNA from 1 species
GGGCCCGCACAAGCGGUGGAGCAUGUGGUUUAAUUCGAUGCAACGCGAAGAACCUUACCUGGUCUUGACAUACACAGAAUCUUGUAGAGAUACGAGAGUGCCUUCGGGAAUUGUGAUACAGGUGCUGCAUGGCUGUCGUCAGCUCGUGUUGUGAAAUGUUGGGUUAAGUCUCGCAACGAGCGCAACCCCUAUCUUUAGUUGCCAGCAUUAAGUUGGGCACUCUAGAGAGACUGCCCGGGUUAACCGGGAGGAAGGUGGGGAUGACGUCAAGUCCUCAUGGCCCUUAUGCCUAGGGCUACACACGUAAUACAAUGGUUGAUACAAAGGGAAGCGAUCGCGCGAGCGUUAGCAAAUCUCAAAAAGUCAAAUCUCAGUCCGGAUUGGAGUCUGCAACUCGACUCCAUGAAGUUGGAAUCGCUAGUAAUCG